rnacentral:misc_RNA from 1 species
GCGAGGUCGAGCUCGACGAGGGUGCCGCUGCAAUGGGAGGAGGCGAGGCUGCCACUGAGGUUCGCGGAGCUGAGUGAGAGCUUCUCGAGGCUGGGGAGUGGGAGGAGGGAGGUGGCGACGGCUCGGUAGUCAGUGCUGAGGGGGGCGCCAUCGAGAACGACGGAAGAGACGGCGCCGUUGAGACAGGUGACACCUGUGAAGGUGUAGCAGGGGUUGCCGCCGG